rnacentral:rRNA from 1 species
UAUUGGACAAUGGGCGCAAGCCUGAUCCAGCAACGCCGCGUGAGUGAUGAAGGCUUUCGGGUCGUAAAGCUCUGUCAGCGGGGAAGAAACCUGGGGAUUCAAAUAGGGUCUCCAAUUGACGGUACCCUCGGAGGAAGCACCGGCUAACUCCGUGCCAGCAGCCGCGGUAAAACGGAGGGUGCAAGCGUUGUUCGGAAUUACUGGGCGUAAAGCGCGUGCAGGUGGUUUUUUAAGUCCUGUGUGAAAUCCCUCGGCUCAACUGAGGAACUGCGCAGGAUACUGGAAAACUUGAAUACGGGAGAAGAGGGCGGAAUUCCCAGUGUAGAGGUGAAAUUCGUAGAUAUUGGGAGGAACACCAGCGGCGAAAGCGGCUCUCUAAUCGAUAUUACGCUCAACGCGAGA